rnacentral:rRNA from 1 species
UACGGAAGGCAGCAGUGGGGAAUAUUGCACAAUGGGCGAAAGCCUGAUGCAGCUAUGCCGCGUGUAUGAAGAAGGCCUUAGGGUUGUAAAGUACUUUCAGCAGGGAGGAAAGAAAUAAAACUAAUAAUUUUAUUUUGUGACGUUACCUGAAGAAGAAGCACCGGCUAACUCCGUGCCAGCAGCCGCGGUAAUACGGAGGGUGCAAGCGUUAAUCAGAAUUACUGGGCGUAAAGAGCGCGUAGGUGGUUUUUUUAAAGUCAGAUGUGAAAUCCCUAGGCUUAACCUAGGAACUGCAUUUUGAAACUGAAAAACUAGAGUAUCGUAGAGGGAGGUAGAAUUCUAGGUGUAGCGGUGAAAUGCGUAGAUAUCUGGAGGAAUACCUGUGGCGAAAGCGGCCUCCUAAACGAAUACUGACACUGAGGUGCGAAAGCGUGGGGAGCAAACAGGGAUUAGAUACC